rnacentral:rRNA from 1 species
GCCUACGGGAGGCAGCAGUGGGGAAUUUUGGACAAUGGGCGCAAGCCUGAUCCAGCAAUGCCGCGUGAGUGAAGAAGGCCUUCGGGUUGUAAAGCUCUUUUGUCAGGGAAGAAACGGUGGGAGCUAAUAUCUCCUACUAAUGACGGUACCUGAAGAAUAAGCACCGGCUAACUACGUGCCAGCAGCCGCGGUAAUACGUAGGGUGCAAGCGUUAAUCGGAAUUACUGGGCGUAAAGCGUGCGCAGGCGGUUUUGUAAGUCUGUCGUGAAAGCCCCGGGCUCAACCUGGGAAUUGCGAUGGAGACUGCAAGGCUUGAAUCUGGCAGAGGGGGGUAGAAUUCCACGUGUAGCAGUGAAAUGCGUAGAGAUGUGGAGGAACACCGAUGGCGAAGGCAGCCCCCUGGGUCAAGAUUGACGCUCAUGCACGAAAGCGUGGGGAGCAAACAGGAUUAGAUACCCUGGUAGUCCACGCCCUAAACGAUGUCUACUAGUUGUCGGGUUUUAAUUAACUUGGUAACGCAGCUAACGCGUGAAGUAGACCGCCUGGGGAGUACGGUCGCAAGNUUAAAACUCAAAUGAAUUGACGG